ensembl:lncRNA
GGCCAAUCAGAAGCCAUCCUCUACAAUAAAGCCUGACUCUACUCAUCAUUCUGUGCCAGACCGUGAAGGAUCUACAGUCAGUCUUUGCACCGUUCACUCCAGCCUCCAAACUGUGUAAACUGGUAACUGUUGUCUUUGCUUCCUCCUAGUCUGGAUCCCGGCCGUUCGUGUCCACCUGCUCCCGCUGUUCUUGGAUCAAAGAACCCUGGCUGCAACAACUCACCUGGUCAGUCUCCCCCGUUUCCUGGACGCCGCAGCCUCCAGAACAGCUGCAUGCCACCCAGAGCUUCCCAGCGUCCAACUCCCCCUCAUCUAGGUCUACACCUGGUCCCCUUUCAGUCCAUUCACGCUGAACCUCAGCACGAGCAUUCCAGACUAUUUUCUACCUUCGGCUGAUUCUACCAGCAGACACUGAAAGGACUCUGAUAGUUCGAGUGAAAGUAGCAGUUCCUCCUGAAGGUCAGAGAUUGCAGCAUCUGAGGGCCUCUUCAAAAGAAGACGUAGUUGAUGAAGACGUUCUGGAGCAGGACCAGAAAGACCACGACCAAGCAGCCUUGAGAUCUUAGGCAGCGUCUCCCUCAGGUCCCUCUCUAUCUCCCCACAUAUCCACCAACCACUGGAACACAUCUCCAAAGUUCUGCUGGACCAGCUCAGCUUCCCCUCAGAAGAAGUGCUGCCACCUGCCAGAUGAAGGAGCCUUUUGAGAGGCAGCUGGCAUCGUGAUUGGACUGUACUUUGGUCUGUUCCAAUCCAGCUUCAGCUCCAGAGACGGCAGGCGGGACGAGUCAAUGGAGGCCGGGUGGAUGAAGACAUGCAGCUGAGUACAAUCCAGAAAACAACAGAGGAGGAGUGCAGCAGCCCAGAGCCAGAACAACCAGAGUAGCAUGACCAAAGAACUACAGACUCUUCACAACCUGCUCAAACUCUUGGUACAGGACCUCACCACACGGGUCAAGAAGGUUUCUGUCUCAUUUCUACUCUGAAGCUCACCUUCUCCUGCUCAAACUGCUGACAAAUGUUUCUGCUGCUCUAAAGUCUGGUCUCCAGAACUUCCUAAAAACUCUCAAAGUCUCUUCUGCUGCAGGUUGCUUUGUAGAACUGUUCCAGAAAACCUCACUAAACCACAUGGAGGAGCCUCAAGAUAGUCGUCCAAAUGAAACCAUACAAAAACCAAACUAGUACAACCCAAACGCUAAAGUCUCCUGCAGCCUACCAGAGAACCUCU